AGAGAAGAAUAUUACUGGUUGCAGGGAGCAGGAAGCCAAGUACAGCUUCGUGAUUUCUUGUCAGGUAAUUUCCUUUGAAAGGAGGAGGUUCAGACAAGCAGUUUGGAUAUUUGAUUUGCGCUAAUACUGUUACCAGUGGGGAGGGAAAAUCCCAUCUCCUUGCCUGCUACUUCAAUUUAAGGAGCUGUUUUUGAUUCUGGCAGACAAUGAAGCCUGACCGAAGGGUAGAGAGUUUCUGAACUCAAUGAUUUGACUGCUUAAUGCUUGGGCUUCUCAGUGGUGCUGAGUUUAUCCAAUUUCUACACUGAAUUAUCAUCAUGGAUUUUGGAAAUUGUUUUUGAAGGACCACAAAACACAGAGAGGGCAGGGUGACUUAUAAUAUCAGGGACGUGGACACUGGAUCUGCCUAGACUUCUAAGGUCAGGUAAGACGGACCCCAACUGCACUCAGAUUGUUUUCUGCCCUAAGGAACUUGACUCCUGGCCCUUCUCCGGCCAUAUUCUUCCAGCUGGAACUGACCCCAGCCCAUAGCUGCAGAAGUGCUUCCAGGAUGCAGGUCAACAGCCAAUCAGCACCUGGCAGCUCCUCUGACUCCAAUGAUUGGUUCACAGUGUUGCACGUGACCCCUGCUGUCCAGCAGGAUUGUGCUUUCCGGGUUGCUCUUCCCUGACCCACGCCCCUGGGCAGGUGAAAGUGUGAAGCUGGCUGCUACCCCUGAUGGUGGGAGCUGCUGCUUGGAUUGUGGUGACGAAACCACAGUCCUGGAAGCUGUGGGGGAGAAAUUCCAGCUUAGGACCAUGCGCUCGGAUGGCUUGUCACCGAUGGACCAACCACGUGUCCCUGUCUCUUAGCUACUUUUCAGGAACUGGGGUCCAUGGCAACACAAAGAAGACCUUCCUCAUCUUCGUGGAGUCAUCUUUUCUCUCAUUCAGUACAUACAUCCCUCAGCUACAAACUGAACUGUGUCAGUCACAUACAGACAGGCAAGGCUGAAUCUGAAUUUUUAAAAUACAUAAUAAUUACAUUCAUUUUGGGGAGUCUGUACAUUUCCAGUGCCUAGAAAGGAUACAUAUCAAGUGAACAGAUAAAUGAGUGAAUUUUACUCUUAACCAUGCAGCCUUAAUGCGUAAUCUGAAGG
rnacentral:lncRNA from 1 species